rnacentral:rRNA from 1 species
ACUACGGGUGGCAGCAGUAGGGAAUAUUGCUCAAUGGGGGAAACCCUGAAGCAGCAACGCCGCGUGGAGGAUGAAGGUUUUCGGAUUGUAAACUCCUUUUGUUAGAGAAGAUAAUGACGGUAUCUAACGAAUAAGCAACGGCUAACUCCGUGCCAGCAGCCGCGGUAAUACGGAGGGUGCAAGCGUUACUCGGAAUCACUGGGCGUAAAGAGCGCGUAGGCGGGAUAGCAAGUCAGAUGUGAAAUCCUAUGGCUUAACCGUAGAACUGCAUUUGAAACUGUUAUUCUAGAGUAUGGGAGAGGUAGGUGGAAUUCUUGGUGUAGGGGUAAAAUCCGUAGAGAUCAAGAGGAAUACUGAUUGCGAAGGCGGCCUGCUAGAACAUAACUGACGCUGAUGCGCGAAAGCGUGGGUAGCAAACAGGAUUAGAUACCCGAGUAGUC